rnacentral:ncRNA from 2 species
AUAAAUGUAAUUAAUAGAACUUGUAUAAGCCAACAUAUUGGGUUGGUGUCUCUACGAUUGAACCUAUUCAAUCUCUAUAAUUUCUAUUUAUAAUUCU